CAUUGUAAGUUUUGCAGAUAUACGUGAAAAACUGUUCAGUAAUAACGUUUUCUACUGAUACAUAUGCCACAAUGUUGUACACUGGUAAUUCAUUAAUUGAAACUAAUGCAACACCUAAGAGGUUGUACACUAAUACCACACCGACAAUGUUGUAUACUCAUACUAUGCCAAAAAUGCUAUACACAAACGCUAUACAUUUAAGAUUGUACAAUGAUAGAAAAUCAGAGAUGUCGCAAAAGGACACCACUUCGACAUCAUUGAUUUUUAGUGGCUCACCGAAGUCAUCCAACAGUGACGCAUCACCAGCAAAAUUAUUUACAACGAGCUCAACGUUCACCAGAACCACGCCAGCAAGAUUGAAAACCUAUGCGACACCAGUGACAGUGUGCAGCAAUUGAUUGGAUUUUGAUUGAGAUAUCAAUGAAUGUUUUGGGUUGGUUGGAAAUUCCAGAAAAGAUGUCUUUGCAAUCAUUAUUUGAUUAUCUCUAAUUGUUAACAUUCUUUUGAGUAAGAACGACACGCCUCUCCAACUUUUGUGUAAGACGAAUUAUUAUAGACUGACUCUCCGUAAAUGAAGCAUCUACAUGAUGCGUAAUGAAGAAUAUAUAGAUAUAUAUAACUCUAGUGAGCUCCCUUAACCGGGAUACAGGGAGACUUAAACUUAGAACUAAGGAAAACACAACGGUGGCGUUAUGGCCUCAGAACCGUCUCUCUAAUGUAUCAGAUGAUUUAAACCAAUACGAUUUCAAAACAAAUUAUACAUUUCCUGAUUCUCUAUUCAUUUCCAACCAUCUUACAUUUUAUAAAUAAUUGUGGAAUUUCUAUGGCUACAACUGUGUAGAAGCCGUAUAGGUUAGAAUAGUGAACAGUGAUUGCCUUGAAGUAGUUACUCAGUUGAAAAUUUCAUCAAGAUAGAUUGAAAAAUGAUAUCUUUGGAACAAUGAUGCGAGUGUCACCUUUAUGUUCGCUUUCCAAAAUAUACUCACGGUUAGAAAAAAAAGCAUGAAAUAUUGAUCUUUGUUAUGAAAAAAUCUUUAGAAAAACAAACACUUGAUGAUGCAACCAAUUCGUAAUGACUUGGACUGAUUUACAAGGAUAAUGCAUUCCAGAUUUGAGAUUUGCACUUCAGAUUCAGUAUUGUAUGGUAUAAUAUACAGAAACUAAAAUUGCAACCGUUUCUCGACCCGAUCAGCCAAUAAUAAUUUGUUUGAUUAAAACAACACAUUCGCGUAGUCGCCAAUACUUUCCUCGAGUGGUCCAUCUUUACAAUAUGUUUUACAACUGUCUACAGCACAAUACAGCUGCAGCCUUGCCACUGCAGCUUUUGCAGAGAAAGAAUCAGCGUAACAUUGUUGUCAGUCUUCCUAAAAAAAAAAAUGGAAAAUUUCCGUUAAAUCAUGAGAUGAUCUUAAUGAGUCAUUCAUAGAUUCAGUGAUU